CCUACGGGAGGCAGCAGUGAGGAAUAUUGGUCAAUGGACGAGAGUCUGAACCAGCCAAGUAGCGUGAAGGAUGACUGCCCUAUGGGUGGUAAAUUUCUUUUAUAUGGGAAUAAAAUGUUCCACGUGUGGGAUUUUGUAUGUACGAUAUGAAUAAUGAUAGGCUAAAUCCGUGCCAUCAGCGGCGGUAAUACGGAGGAUCCGAGCGUUAUCCGGAUUUAUUGGGCUUAAUGGGAGCGUAGGUGGAUUGUUAAGUCAGUUGUGAAAGUUUGCGGCUCAACCGUAAAAUUGCAGUUGAAACUGGAGGUCUUGAGUACAGUGGGGGUGGGCGGAAUUCGUGGUGUGGCGGUGAAAUGCU
rnacentral:rRNA from 1 species